AUUCUCAGUGAGUCACUUACCAUUUGGAUUCUCUCAAUUGACCUAUUUUCCCUGAGCCUCUUGAGCCAUUCAGAGUUCAUUUUUAUGUGUCCUUUUAGCUGUGAGAAACAAGACCAGAGCCCUCCUUCUCUUUGUUUCGCCUGUAUCUUCUUGGCUCAUUAUCUUGCAGAGCAGACAGGCUUUCUCUGGGUGACUGAAAACAAGGCCGCCACCCUCUCCAACUUCAGAUUCUUCCUGAUCCAUCCCCCAGGCACAAGGCCCUCCUCCAACUCCAGCUGAAAAAAAUCCCAGGGAAGGACUUUGAUUGGCCUUGUUUGAGUCACAUGUUUCCCUCACCAAGGGGUUAGUCUUGUGAUGACCACACAGUCCUUCACCAUGUGUCUGGAGUUAGGGCAGAAGAAGGUGCAGCGCCCCCAGAACACGGGUGGGCAGUGCUGGAGCGGAAAUUUCUGUUGGACGGCACCGAUGUGGACACUCCACAGAAGCCAAACACACAGCAGAAUGAGCCAAGAACACGCUGGUGAUGAGGGCAAGACACGUACAGAACAAGGAGGGAGCAGACGCCGGAGGGCAGGUGAGUCUACGGGAAUGGCUGGGGGACACAUGUGGCCCCAGGGUUGGGGGUGACACCUUAGUCUCUUAGGUGGGAACCAAAGCCCUUACUGCUAGUUACUGGAAGAGCCCACGCCAGUGUCAGAACCAGCACUUGUGGGCUGGGCCAGCAGCUCAUUCCUGUAAUUUCAGUGCUUUGGGCAGCCAAGGUGGGAGGACUGCUUGAGGCCAGGAGUUCAAAACCAGCCUGGGCAACAUAGGGAGACAUCAUCUCCCCAUGUCUCCUGCUUACUGGAAGCAAG
rnacentral:lncRNA from 1 species